rnacentral:rRNA from 1 species
GAUCGAGAGAUGGAGCAAAUCCCAAAAAUAACGUCCCAGUUCGGACUGUAGUCUGCAACCCGACUACACGAAGCUGGAAUCGCUAGUAAUCGCGGAUCAGAAUGCCGCGGUGAAUACGUUCCCGGGUCUUGUACACACCGCCCGUCACACCAUGGGAGUCAGUAACGCCCGAAGUCAGUGACCUAACCGAAAGGGGGGCGCUGCCGAAGGUAGGAUUGGCGACUGGGGUGAAGUCGUAACAAGGUAAC